GAUCUUAGAAAAGUCGGGCGCAACCUCCACAAUCAAUCCCAUCAUCCUCUGUGGCUGAUCAAGGAGCGAAUCAAAGCUCACUUCUACAGUUCGUACAUGGGCCGAUGGGGGAACCCGCUGUUCUCCGUCCACGACAACCUGAGCCCGGUCGUCACCGUGGAGCAGAACUUCGACAGCUUACUGAUCCCGCCCACCC